UACGAAGGGGGCUAGCGUUGCUCGGAAUCACUGGGCGUAAAGGGUGCGUAGGCGGGUUCUUAAGUCAGAGGUGAAAUCCUGGAGCUCAACUCCAGAACUGCCUUUGAUACUGAGAGUCUUGAGUACGGGAGAGGUGAGUGGAACUGCGAGUGUAGAGGUGAAAUUCGUAGAUAUUCGCAAGAACACCAGUGGCGAAGGCGACUCACUGGCCCGUUACUGACGCUGAGGCACGAAAGCGUGGGGAGCAAACAGG
rnacentral:rRNA from 1 species